GUGUUUAUUUUAAUAGCAUGUACACCAAAAAUGGGAGCAAUAUAGAGAGCAUUAGUAGAGCCUCUAUAUAAGGAUAAUACAAAAAUUCAUGAAAUACUCCAAAUUUUA